rnacentral:rRNA from 1 species
AUUGACCGCUGGCGGUAGGCCUAACACAUGCAAGUCGACCGAGUCGCGGACGGGUGUGGAAUAUAUCGGAAUCCAAUCUGUCGUGGGAUAAAACCUAGGGAAACUAACGCUAAUACCGCAUCCUAUCGGAUGAGCAGGUGUCGGAUUAGAUAAGUGGCGGGGUAAAGGCCCACCACGGCGACGAUCCGUAGCUGGUCUGAGAGGAUGACCAGCCACACUGGAACUGAGACACGGUCCAGACUCCUACGGGAGGCAGCAGUGGGGAAUAUUGGACAAUGGGCGCAAGCCUGAUCCAGCCAUGCCGCGUGGGUGAAGAAGGCCUUCGGGUUGUAAAGCCCUUUUGUUGGGAAAGCGGUAUCCAAAGACGAAGCACCGGCUAACUUCGCGCCAGCAGCCGCGGUAAUAC